rnacentral:rRNA from 1 species
GAUGAACGCUGGCGGCGUGCCUAAUACAUGCAAGUCGAGCGAACAGACAAGGAGCUUGCUCCUUUGACGUUAGCGGCGGGCGGGUGAGUAACACGUGGGUAACCUACCUAUAAGACUGGGAUAACUUCGGGAAACCGGAGCUAAUACCGGAUAAUAUUUCGAACCGCAUGGUUCGAUAGUGAAAGAUGGUUUUGCUAUCACUUAUAGAUGGACCCGCGCCGUAUUAGCUAGUUGGUAAGGUAACGGCUUACCAAGGCGACGAUACGUAGCCGACCUGAGAGGGUGAUCGGCCACACUGGAACUGAGACACGGUCCAGACUCCUACGGGAGGCAGCAGUAGGGAAUCUUCCGCAAUGGGCGAAAGCCUGACGGAGCAAUGCCGCGUGAGUGAUGAAGGUCUUCGGAUCGUAAAACUCUGUUAUUAGGGAAGAACAUACGUGUAAGUAACUAUGCACGUCUUGACGGUACCUAAUCAGAAAGCCACGGCUAACUACGUGCCAGCAGCCGCGGUAAUACGUAGGUGGCAAGCGUUAUCCGGAAUUAUUGGGCGUAAAGCGCGCGUAGGCGGUUUUUUAAGUCUGAUGUGAAAGCCCACGGCUCAACCGUGGAGGGUCAUUGGAAACUGGAAAACUUGAGUGCAGAAGAGGAAAGUGGAAUUCCAUGUGUAGCGGUGAAAUGCGCAGAGAUAUGGAGGAACACCAGUGGCGAAGGCGACUUUCUGGUCUGUAACUGACGCUGAUGUGCGAAAGCGUGGGGAUCAAACAGGAUUAGAUACCCUGGUAGUUCACGCCGUAAACGAUGAGUGCUAAGUGUUAGGGGGUUUCCGCCCCUUAGUGCUGCAGCUAACGCAUUAAGCACUCCGCCUGGGGAGUACGACCGCAAGGUUGAAACUCAAAGGAAUUGACGGGGACCCGCACAAGCGGUGGAGCAUGUGGUUUAAUUCGAAGCAACGCGAAGAACCUUACCAAAUCUUGACAUCCUUUGACAACUCUAGAGAUAGAGCCUUCCCCUUCGGGGGACAAAGUGACAGGUGGUGCAUGGUUGUCGUCAGCUCGUGUCGUGAGAUGUUGGGUUAAGUCCCGCAACGAGCGCAACCCUUAAGCUUAGUUGCCAUCAUUAAGUUGGGCACUCUAAGUUGACUGCCGGUGACAAACCGGAGGAAGGUGGGGAUGACGUCAAAUCAUCAUGCCCCUUAUGAUUUGGGCUACACACGUGCUACAAUGGACAAUACAAAGGGCAGCGAAAUCGCGAGGUCAAGCAAAUCCCAUAAAGUUGUUCUCAGUUCGGAUUGUAGUCUGCAACUCGACUACAUGAAGCUGGAAUCGCUAGUAAUCGUAGAUCAGCAUGCUACGGUGAAUACGUUCCCGGGUCU